AUUGAACGCUAGCGGGAUGCUUUACACAUGCAAGUCGAACGGCAGCGCGGACUUCGGUCUGGCGGCGAGUGGCGAACGGGUGAGUAAUGUAUCGGAACGUGCCCAGUAGCGGGGGAUAACUACGCGAAAGCGUAGCUAAUACCGCAUACGCCCUACGGGGGAAAGCAGGGGAUCGUAAGACCUUGCACUAUUGGAGCGGCCGUUAUCGGAUUAGCUAGUUGGUGAGGUAACGGCUCACCAAGGCGACGAUCCGUAGCUGGUUUGAGAGGACGACCAGCCACACUGGGACUGAGACACGGCCCAGACUCCUACGGGAGGCAGCAGUGGGGAAUUUUGGACAAUGGGGGCAACCCUGAUCCAGCCAUCCCGCGUGUGCGAUGAAGGCCUUCGGGUUGUAAAGCACUUUUGGCAGGAAAGAAACGUCGCGGGCUAAUACCCCGUGGAACUGACGGUACCUGCAGAAUAAGCACCGGCUAACUACGUG
rnacentral:rRNA from 1 species